GACGAACGCUGGCGGCGUGCUUAACACAUGCAAGUCGAACGCUGAAGCACCAGCUUGCUGGUGUGGAUGAGUGGCGAACGGGUGAGUAAUACGUGAGUAACCUGCCCUUGACUCUGGGAUAAGCCCGGGAAACUGGGUCUAAUACUGGAUGCUACAUGUCACCGCAUGGUGGUGUGUGGAAAGGGUUUACUGGUCUUGGAUGGGCUCACGGCCUAUCAGCUUGUUGGUGAGGUAAUGGCUCACCAAGGCGACGACGGGUAGCCGGCUGAGAGGGUGACCGGCCACACUGGGACUGAGACACGGCCCAGACUCCUACGGGAGGCAGCAGUGGGGAAUAUUGCACAAUGGGCGAAAGCCUGAUGCAGCGACGCCGCGUGAGGGAUGACGGCCUUCGGGUUGUAAACCUCUUUCAGCAGGGAAGAAGCCACAAGUGACGGUACCUGCAGAAGAAGCGCCGGCUAACUACGUG
rnacentral:rRNA from 1 species